rnacentral:rRNA from 1 species
CCUACGGGUGGCAGCAGUCGAGAAAUAUUCACAAUGGGGGAAACCCUGAUGGGGCGACGCCGCGUGGGGGAAUGAAGGUCUUCGGAUUGUAAACCCCUGUCAUGUGGGAGCAAAUUAAAAAGAUAGUACCACAAGAGGAAGAGACGGCUAACUCUGUGCCAGCAGCCGCGGUAAUACAGAGGUCUCAAGCGUUGUUCGGAAUGACUGGGCGUAAGGCGUGCGUAGGCUGUUUCGUAAGUCGUGUGUGAAAGGCGCGGGCUCAACCCGCGGACGGCACAUGAUACUGGGAGACUAGAGUAAUGGAGGGGGAACCGGAAUUCUCGGUGUAGCAGUGAAAUGCGUAGAUAUCGAGAGGAACACUCGUGGCGAAGGCGGGUUCCUGGACAUUAACUGACGCUGAGGCACGAAGGCCAGGGGAGCGAAAGGGAUUAGAUACCCGUGUAGUC